CAGCCCGGUGCAGGAGAGCCCAUUCUAGGGUGAUGUGCUGAGGAACUCGGACUUUGCUGCUCCAAGUCAGCCCCCCAAAGCAAAUCACGGAGGCAAGCCAGCCAGGGCUGAAGCGUUUGUGGGGAGAGUUGAUUCAGCAGGGACGGUGGCUGAGAUCUGGGCCUUUUAGGACCCUGAAGAGAGAACUGAUUACUUGGGGACCAAAGGCCACUUGCCAGCCUCACGACCCAGGACACAUGUUUUUCAAGGUGCUGGGAGCCAUCCCUUUGGAAUGUAUCAACCACAAGCUGGUGUUUCUAUAGUGUGCAUGGGGCGGUCCUCUGAGCCAAGAGAGCACAAGCAAGGGGAGCAGCAGAGGGAGAGGGAGAAGCAGACUCAUUGCUGAGCAGGGAGCCUGAUGUGGGCCUCGAUCCCAGGACCCCGGGAUCACGACCCAGGCUAAAGGCAGACGCUUCACCAAUGGAGCCAUCCAGUCGCCCCAGAAGGUUGUGUUUUUAAUUCUAUUUCCCCAGCACACUUGCCAGGACUCCCUUUUCCUCUGUCCCCUGGUACAACCCCUCCUGCAUAACACACUGGGAGUGAUGCUUGAACAGUACAAGUUUGGCUGUAUCACGACUCUACGUAAAGACUUUGGUGGACCCGGACCACAGCUGGCCAGUUCUCGAAUCCCAGGAGCCAGCUGCCACUCACCUCCCGCACCCACUAUGCCUCAGCACACUGGCCACCUCGUUCUUCCUUGAAAUUCAUGAGCUCAUUCACACUGUAGGGCUUUCCACGGGCUACUCCCUUUCUCUGAAAUGUUCCUUUCUUCUGGUCUUUGCUAGUCUAGGUACUUGGGUCACGUUUACAUGUCAACUUCUCAGAAAAUCUUUUCUGGGUCACCGAAGUGGUAGUCAUUCAGUGACCCUGUCAUGUAUUAAAUCGUCUGAAUCUCUGUUUACAACACUUUCUUCUCUAUCUCCCGGAGCCGUCAUAUUUACAUGUGGUUGUGUCUCACCUGGGACAGACAGCCCUGAGAGAAGGGCUUGAUAAGCCAGGCACUCAGUAUACUGCUUUACAUACAGUAGGCACUCAAUAAAUACUGGCUGAACAAAGUAUUAAAAGCACUUAGCCUGACGCCUGGCCCAUAAUUCAUAUUUAAUAGACAGUAACUAUUACAAGCAUUAACAUGAUAUAACGAAGGAUAUGUUUCAGAAUGAAGAUAAAUUAUUUGUGAAAAAGUCAUAAUAACAAGUUAAAUAAUCAAUUCUCAAAAAAUAAGUUUAUACUUUUACACAUAUGUUACCUGUAAUGUAAGCCUGGAUUGAAACAGGUAGAAUAAGCUUGGAUUUAAUUAAAAAUAAUAGUCAUUUACAAUGGGCACCAAGAAGAAUGAAGGAAAUGAGAUGUUUAUUUUAAUUUUUUUAAUCUAAAUUAUUUCCUGAUCUGGACCUCCUAUUCAGAAAUUUAGUUUUCAGUUAAUGAUGUUAAUUUUUAUAAAUGGAUAAUGGAGCUGUGUUUCCAUGAAAUGUUUAGAAAGGCAGCAAAAAUACUUGUGUAGAGCUGACUGAUAAAUGGGGAAUAAUAAAUGCAAAGCAAAAAAUUACUAUUUUUUAUGAGCCACAUUAAAAACUAACAAAAAAGUACAUACAAACUACAGUUGAUUAUAAAAGCUGCCAUAAUAUGAAAAACUACAAAUGACAAAGCAUAAGUUUUUAUAUAAAAAAUUAAUUAGUGCUAUGAUAACACUGUGCAAACAUUGGCCUGCACGUUAAAUCUGCAGCCCUCCUGGGUGAGAGUUGCUCGUUUUCUUCUUCUUCUUGAUGAUUCCAAAUUAACCUGCCACGUUUGUGGGUAAAAGGACUUCGGCUUAGACCCUUAGGUCAUCUACUGAAUAGAGCUUUACUCUCCCACUUUUUAAAAAAAGUAUAUUUUUUUAAUUUAUUCAUUUGAGAGAGAGCACAAGCAAGGGCAGAGGGAGAGGGAG